UCCCUGAUCUCUCAGACGGUAAAGAAUCUGCCUGCAAUGCAGGAGACCCAGGUUUGAUUCCUGGUUUGGGAA
rnacentral:tRNA from 1 species